rnacentral:rRNA from 1 species
UACGUAGGGUGCAAGCGUUAAUCGGAAUUACUGGGCGUAAAGGGUGCGUAGGCGGUUCGUUAAGUCUGUCGUGAAAUCCCCGGGCUCAACCUGGGAAUGGCGAUGGAUACUGGCGAGCUAGAGUGUGUCAGAGGAUGGUGGAAUUCCCGGUGUAGCGGUGAAAUGCGUAGAGAUCGGGAGGAACACCUGUGGCGAAGGCGGCCGACUGGGCCGACCCUGACGCUGAGGCGCGAAGGCGUGGGGAGCGAACGGG